UCGAGCGGGACAGAUGGGAGCUUGCUCCCUGAUGUUUAGCGGCGGACGGGUGAGUAACACGUGGGUAACCUGCCUGUAAGACUGGGAUAACUCCGGGAAACCGGGGCUAAUACCGGAUGCUUGAUUGAACCGCAUGGUUCAAUUAUAAAAGGUGGCUUUUAGCUACCACUUACAGAUGGACCCGCGGCGCAUUAGCUAGUUGGUGAGGUAACGGCUCACCAAGGCAACGAUGCGUAGCCGACCUGAGAGGGUGAUCGGCCACACUGGGACUGAGACACGGCCCAGACUCCUACGGGAGGCAGCAGUAGGGAAUCUUCCGCAAUGGACGAAAGUCUGACGGAGCAACGCCGCGUGAGUGAUGAAGGUUUUCGGAUCGUAAAACUCUGUUGUUAGGGAAGAACAAGUACCGUUCGAAUAGGGCGGUACCUUGACGGUACCUAACCAGAAAGCCACGGCUAACUACGUGCCAGCAGCCGCGGUAAUACGUAGGUGGCAAGCGUUGUCCGGAAUUAUUGGGCGUAAAGCGCGCGCAGGCGGUUUCUUAAGUCUGAUGUGAAAGCCCCCGGCUCAACCGGGGAGGGUCAUUGGAAACUGGGGAACUUGAGUGCAGAAGAGGAGAGUGGAAUUCCACGUGUAGCGGUGAAAUGCGUAAAGAUGUGGAGGAACACCAGUGGCGAAGGCGACUCUCUGGUCUGUAACUGACGCUGAGGCGCAAAAGCGUGGGGAGCGAACAGGAUUAGAUACCCUGGUAGUCCACGCCGUAAACAAUGAGUGCUAAGUGUAAAAGGGUUUCCGCCCUUUAGUGCUGCAGCAAACGCAUUAAGCACUCCCCCUGGGGAG
rnacentral:rRNA from 1 species